CAUAUACAGUUGGCAAUACGAUAUAUACAGAUACGAAAAGAUACAGAUUAGCAUGGCCCCUGCGCAAGGUUGACACGCAAAAUCGUGAAGUGUUGACGGUUAGU